rnacentral:rRNA from 1 species
CGUACACUCCUACGGGAGGCAGCAGUGGGGAAUUUUACGCAAUGGGGGAAACCCUGACGUAGCGACACCGCGUGAGCGAAGAAGCCCUUUGGGGUGUAAAGCUUUGUCAGCUGGAACGAAAACAAUGACGGUACCAGCAGAGGAAGCAUCGGCUAACUACGUGCCAGCAGCCGCGGUAAGACGUAGGAUGCGAGCGUUGUCCGGAUUUAUUGGGCGUAAAGAGUUCGUAGGUGGUUUGUUAAGUUUGGUGUUAAAGAUCGGGGCUCAACCCUGGGACUGCACUGAAUACUGGCAGACUCGAGUGUGGUAGAGGCUAGUGGAAUUCCCAGUGUAGCGGUGAAAUGCGUAGAUAUUGGGAAGAACACCGGUGGCGUAGGCGACUAGCUGGGCCAUAACUGACGCUGAGGAACGAAAGCCAGGGGAGCGAAUGGGAUUAGAAACCCCGGUAGUCCCAUGA